rnacentral:rRNA from 1 species
CCUACGGGAGGCAGCAGGGAGGAAUAUUGGGCAAUGGACGAGAGUCUGAACCAGCCAAGUAGCGUGAAGGAUGACUGCACUAUGGGUGGUAAACUUCGUUUAUAUGGGAAUAAAAUGAUCCACGUGUGGGAUUUUGUAUGUACCAUAUGAAUAAGGAUCGGCUAACUCCGUGCCAGCAGCCGCGGUAAUACGGAGGAUCCGAGCGUUAUCCGGAUUUAUUGGGUUUAAAGGGAGCGUAGGUGGAUUGUUAAGUCAGUUGUGAAAGUUUGCGGCUCAACCGUAAAAUUGCAGUUGAAACUGGCAGUCUUGAGUACAGUAGAGGUGAGCGGAAUUCGUGGUGUAGCGGUGAAAUGCUUAGAUAUCACGAAGAACUCCGAUUGCGAAGGCAGCUCACUGGACUGCAACUGACACUGAGGCUCGAAAGUGUGGGUAUCAAACAGGAUUAGAUACCCUUGUAGUC